UUCGGUUAAGUUAUGAAGGGCGCACGGUGGAUGCCUUGGCACUAGGAGCCGACGAAGGACGGGACUAACACCGAUAUGCUUUGGGGAGCUGUAAGUGAGCUUUGAUCCAGAGAUUUCCGAAUGGGGGAACCCAUUGUUCGUAAUGGAACAAUAUCCUUACUUGAAUACAUAGAGUAUGGAAGGCAGACCCAGGGAACUGAAACAUCUAAGUACCUGGAGGAAGAGAAAGCAAUUGCGAUUCCCUGAGUAGCGGCGAGCGAAACGGGAUAUAGCCCAAACCAAGAGGCUUGCCUCUUGGGGUUGUAGGACACUCUAUACGGAGUUACAAAGGAAUGAAGUAGACGAAGAAGUCUGGAAAGRCUCGUCAAAGAAGGUAACAACCCUGUAGUUGAAACUUCAUUCCCUCUUGAGUGGAUCCUGAGUACGGCGGGACACGUGAAAUCCCGUCGGAAGCUGGGAGGACCAUCUCCCAAGGCUAAAUACUCCCUAGUGACCGAUAGUGAACCAGUACCGUGAGGGAAAGGUGAAAAGCACCCCGGAAGGGGAGUGAAAUAGAACCUGA
rnacentral:rRNA from 1 species